AAACUAGUUUCGCGAGUCAGAGCCUCGUACACCCGCUCGGGUAGGCGGCCGGGUGCAUUUGCACCGCACAGUCCAGGAUCUCUGGGUUCCUGGCUACUAAUUGCACUCACGGUCCCCAGGCCAGACUCGAGGCUCGAAAGGCUGGCGAGGAAGCGACUAGCGCAGCAAGAAGCUGUGCCCGCUGCCACUUGGGGCCUUUGGCCCGUGGGCGCAGAAAUUAACCCGGGUAGGUGACGAGCUGUGGCUCAGACCCGGGGAGUCGGAGACGCGCUUUUCCCGGGGCCCGAGUGAGCAGGCAAAGACUGGGUGAUUUCCUGCAGGCUUUUGUGUUUUCGAUGCUCGGGAAGCGGGAGCCGGACGAAGGACUUUCACGUUAGGGAAGGCCGUGGGCACCCAGACAGAUCCGGGUUGGCUCUGGAGAGCAAGUCCUUGGGGGCGGGGAGGGGAGUGCGCGCCGCAAACCCAGGGAAAACGCCGAGGAGGCCCGCGGAUGAAUAGACAAUGCUGUCCUUGGAACAAAGCACAACAAUAAGGCCUUUGCAUUUAUAAAUCGCGCGCCGGCGGCGGCCUCCGGGAGCCCCGCGGGAGGCGGCGAACGGCGGCGGAGCGCGGGCGAGGCUCCGCACCUCCCAGGACCCCGCCAUUCCUGGAUUUUAGUUUGGAUCAGGAAAGCAAACCAUGUUGCAGAGGCCCAGGAAUGUCAGUUAGCAAAAGGAAACACAUCUUUCAUUCAGCCAGCCACCCCCUGCAAGACCUUUCUUCCCUUUCUCUCUACCUUCUUCAUCUCCUCUCUCUCUCUUUUCUCCCCCUUUUUCCCUUUUUUUCUUUCCUAGGCUUUGAUCUUGACAAUGAGAAGAUUCACAGAGUCUACAGAUCUGUACCUGAGACCACGAUUAUUUUCAAGACUGAUUGUUCAAAUGACAACAGUAUUUCAACAACGACCCGAGUCCCAAAGAGUUCAAGCCUCUCUCCCUUUCUGCUCCUGUUGCCACCACGGCAGCAAAGGAGAAGCCCAGCGCCUGUGCCCCUUGGCGUCUGACCCCAGGCUGACUUGGCCACACUGCCAUUUGCCUCCUUCAUGCUGAUACACCUGGAUGUCUGCAGAGCUGGUAAAUAUUUGCCCACACAGGAGAGAGCAAAUGGCGGUUUUUGUACAAGGGAGGUGAUGAGGCAGCUCGUCCCCCUGGGUCAAUAGUGCGAAACCAACAAUGGCAAUGUGCAAUGGUGACACGCUAUCUGUUAGCUUCAGAGAAGGGAGCUACCGAUGGCCGUGACCUCCAGACUCCACGGCUGCAACCUUCCAAGCAGCAAGAGCAGAGGUCUGUUCUCUGCCCUGGAUGUCAGCUCUUCACUGCACUCUGUUGCUCUCCACCUCCUGGCACAGCUGAACUUCAAGAUCACUGCAGUGACAUUUCAAAUUUCCCCAGAGGGUUUAGAAAUUAAUUGUGUCCAUUGCGGGGCGCCUGGCUGGUUCAGUCCAUAGAGCAUGCGACUUUUGAUCCCUGGGCUGUGAGUUCGAGCCCCACUUUGGGUGUAGAGAUUACCUAAAAAUAAAAUCUUUAAAAAUAAUAAUAAAAUAAAUGUG